AAUUCUCAAUCCUGUCUAGUUUUCUCACUAGUGUGGAUUGGAUUAUGGAAGUUGCCGGCGCUCUCAGUUGCCAGCUCUUCUAAAAUGCAUUAGCAAAAGAUCUUUGGCGAUUGUCUUUGGUAUGAUAAUGGUUUAUAUCAUUGGCAACCCAGUGUGCAUCUUGGCUUCCUAAUAGUCUACGAGACAAACUUGACAA
rnacentral:misc_RNA from 1 species